rnacentral:rRNA from 1 species
AGAGUUUGAUCCUGGCUCAGAUUGAACGCUGGCGGCAUGCCUAACACAUGCAAGUCGAACGGAAACGAUGGGAGCUUGCUCCCAGGCGUCGAGUGGCGGACGGGUGAGUAACACAUAGGAAUCUGCCCAGUAGCGGGGGACAACCUGGUGAAAACCAGGCUAAUACCGCAUACGCCCUACGGGGGAAAGCAGGGGAUCUUCGGACCUUGCACUAUUGGAUGAGCCUAUGUCAGAUUAGCUUGUUGGUGGGGUAACGGCCUACCAAGGCGACGAUCUGUAGCUGGUCUGAGAGGACGAUCAGCCACACUGGGACUGAGACACGGCCCAGACUCCUACGGGAGGCAGCAGUGGGGAAUAUUGCACAAUGGGGGAAACCCUGAUGCAGCAAUGCCGCGUGUGUGAAGAAGGCCUGCGGGUUGUAAAGCACUUUCAGUAGGGAGGAAACAGUUACGGGUUAAUAUCCCGUAGCCUUGACGUUACCUACAGAAGAAGCACCGGCUAACUCUGUGCCAGCAGCCGCGGUAAAUACAGAGGGUGCAAGCGUUAAUCGGAAUUACUGGGCGUAAAGCGCGCGUAGGCGGCUUGGUCAGUCGGAUGUGAAAGCCCCGGGCUUAACCUGGGAAUUGCAUUCGAUACUGCCAGGCUAGAAUGUAGUAGAGGGUAGUGGAAUUCCGGGUGUAGCGGUGAAAUGCGUAGAUAUCCGGAGGAACAUCAGU